AGUCAGAGUGAGGAGCUGGCUGACCCCUGGGGACGCGAGCCCCUAGCUCUGCGACUCAAAGCAAACCUGGGAGGAGCAGUGGGCACGGGCUUCAAAGUUAGCAAAGUGCCCCUGAAAGCAGCUCUCAGAGUUGGGCUCCCGGUGUUCCAGAGAUCUAGGGUGAGGUGGGACAAAGGAAAAACUCCCCGGGGACCUCCUGCUUCAGCUUGCAGAGCCCUGGCGCCAGGCGCUUCCGCCGCUCCUCAGCACUCGGCAUUUAUUGAGGUGCCUGCACAGGCACGUGAUGCCAGAGCCCUCCUUUACCACCCCCACCUCCACCUCCACCCAGUUCUGGCCUGUGGGAGUCGACUUGCAGCAAGCCAGGAUCUUUUGUGGGCGUGCACUGUGCCUUUGUGAGUGGAGGACGGCAAGGUCUGGACCCUGGGGGAAGAGAGCCUCUAGCUUCUCCCACCUCUCUCAGAUCAAACACCCUCCCCCUAAGAUUCUCUCUGAUGGGAUGCUGAAAUUACUUACAGUCUGGUUGCAAAGGAGCUAGCCCCAGAACUUGAGUUUCUAGAAGGAAGAAGUCUUUCUUUGGCUACUAAAGCUUAAUGAGGACCAGAUGGAGAAAGACUUUCAGAAGACUAUUGAAGUGGAUAUUGCCUGACAGUUGAGACAUGUCAGGAAACAUGCGGUGUUGGCUUCUGAAAAAGGAUCACCAGCAUUUGGCAUUUGUGAAAAUAAGAAGAGUCCUUUAAACAAUAUAUCAUUGAUAGACUGUCAGAAUCUCAAAAUUCAGUCCCAGGACAGAUACCUGUUUUGCAUCCUAGAGUAGGAAUUUACUAAUUGUAAACUCAAAAAGUAUUGCCCUACUGAGUGUGGUGCAGUUUGUACAAGCACACUUUGUUUUGAAGUGGAUUAUCUAAUUCCCCUGCCUUUGCAUCGGCUCCUUUGAGAGUCCUCACCUCAAAUUUCUGUCUCUAUAUCUGGAAUGUCUCAAAGACCAAAUCAGAUUGUUCCAACCAUUACCUGUCUCUUUCCAUUAUCCAGCUGCUCUUCUGUAGUCAGACCCCAAAGUCCCUGGUGACAUGAAUCUUUGUUUCCUAGAAUAGCAAAGAAUGGGAAGCAGACAUAUCAGAAAGAGAGCCACACUGAACAUUCUCAGGUAUAGAGUCACAAGGUUUUUCUUUAGCGUUGUACACACAGAAUAGAUGCAAAUUUGUAGUUUGGGAAUAUUAAUUCAUAAUUAGUGUCCCUAGCAUUCAGGAAAUAGGGCUUUUACAUCUAAAACAGUCCAGUUUCUGAUAAAGGACAGGUGAUAUAGUAAUAGUAUAGUAUAGUAAAGAUGGAGAUCAUGUCUACAUGGAACACUUUAUGUGUCAUUGAAAAAUCAUAGAGAGAAUUGAGUUAAAUCUGUUAAAAGUGAUUGCAUAUUUUUGAAAUAUUUGAAGAGGAACUUAAAUAAAGAUGAUAAGAAAUUUGGUAAGGCAAUUAUCACAUUUAAUAUAAGAAUGGCCUAAAUAUUCAUCAUAUUAAGCAUAAGCCUUCAAUAAUCUUGCAUUUCCAAUUUACUAUAUAAGCUUUUCUUUGAUACAGUUCAUGUUUUUAUUUAUUAUUGCAACGUCUAUUUGUCAACAGAAAGGCACAACUUAUCCACAUCAAAUGAAUGUCAAAAUGGCACUUUGGUUUAUGACUGAAGCAGUCCCUUGUAAAGCCAUGGCAGGUUGUGGCAUUUCUACUCUAUUGUGGCAGAUACUGCUGUGUACUUGGCCAACACAUAAUCUCCCACAUCUUUGUUCCAUCUGAAACUGUAGCGUCUGGUUUUACAUGGGGUCCCCACCUUCUCAUCAGCAGCAACCUUAGGAAGUGACUGGUGCUUAUUCUAAGCAACGUUGAAAAUAGAUCCCUGUAGCAGUGACUAGUGUAGUAAGAGACAGUUCAAGCAAUGCUUGCUCAUCAUUCAAGGAAGGCAGGGCUGAAUUUAGAGCUGAGGACAGGGGUUGCAGUGGUUUUCUUUUGUGAUCAAAAGAAAAAUUAUCUUUAGGUGCUAAUUUGUGAGAUUUGAAAAGUACAGUUGUUAUUGAGCAAAGAGAAGGGACAGACUAAAGAAUGACCUCUUUACCUGUUGAACAAAAGAAUAAAUAGUGUCUGUUCCUCCCUGUUCCUGACCAAUCACUCCAUUUUCUUGUUAUGGGAGAUAACAAAUGGAUGUUUAAGCCACACUGGCUUGGCUUGAGUAUUAGCUACUUGUAGCCUAAAGCACUGGAAUUGACAUGUUUCUGCAAAGAUGAUUUUCUUUUGCUAGUAUUCUAUUCCGCAUGCUGUAAUUAUCCAUGUAUGUGGAAAGUAAGGAACUACCUUAAAAUGUAUGCUAACCUACCUCUGAAUUUCCAAGUGAGUACAUGUUGUAGAGGUGACAGUUACUCCAUACUGCCAUAACCUCACAUCUUCUCUCUAUAACCUCUAUCAAGACAUCUUUACAUCUCUUCUCCUGGAGAUGUGUAAUGCUACAUUUCCUGUGUUUAGUACUUUAAUAAAUAGAACUUGUGUCAAUGUAUGGGUAGAUUUGUGCUCUCAUGUGAAGAAGGCCCUUCAUAUAGAGUCACCUUCACGAUUUCAUAACUAAGUGUUUUGGAGAUGCCAGUACCAUGAGAUGACCACCAAGAGCAGCAGCAGUGGAGUACAGGCGGCUGGAGCCUAAAAGACAACAUGUGUGCUACAAAGGGCAUGGCUGGAGAAGUGACCCAAGCCCUUGGAGGAACCCAGAAGAUGUAUGAUGAGCUCUGUGGGCUGCAUGGGACUGUCGCAGCUUAACCCAUCUGUGCAUUGUGGGUUACCAUCAUGGAGCAAUCCAAUACUUCUGUUACCUUCACGAGGCGCCCCAUGUGCUGCAGAAGAAAGUAGAGCUCAGUGUGAAAUGCAGCGCUCAUUUAGACCAUGAGGAAGAAGGAACUGGAAGUUCAAAUAGGGAUAGCUUCAAAGGACUCUACUCCAAGUACACAAAUGCUCAUUUAAUUUCUUCAGGAAAAAGAAUUAAAGUGGCUUGGAUAACUCAUCAAGAAAGGCUCUGAGAGUUGUUGGAAAGUGAUUCUAACUUCAUUAGGGACUCAUGGAAGGUGCCCUGUCACUGGGGAUGGCCUGAAGUUAGUAUUGAAACUGCAGAAGAUCUCGUCUUCAUUUUGCUGUCUCACCAUGAGGUGAGUAGGUUUUCUUUUUUUCUAAACCAUGGAUGAAAACCUUCAAUCUGUGAGCCCAAAUCAGCAUUUUUUUUCUUAAUGAAUUAACAACCUCAAUUUUGUAACAUAUAGCUUAAUAUUUAAAAUAUGUAUUAUUUUAUUUCUCAUCAGUAUUAUAAGGAAGAUGUCAAGUUAAUUAUUAAUUAUUAAAUGGCCAAAUUAAAAUUAUUGGGAUAUUAAUCAUCAAUAAAAUCAAUCAUAAAUAGCAUUCACUUAUAUUCCUUUUACCAAACUAUCCUGUAUCCUCUCCAUUCCUCAGAAUGAGCCAAUAAUCAACAAACUUUGAAAAAGUUCCUAAUCACUGUUGAAGUAUAAAUCAACUAGUAUUACAUGUGAUUUGAAUAUGAGAGAGCUGAUGUCACCAUGACAGUACAAAUCUGAAUUUAAAAAGAAUCCCUUUACUCAGAAUCAUCAUUAAAAGUAAAUACUUCUAUUAAUUUAUGACCAUGACUUUUCUUUAUUGCAUGUAGUAUUUGCAUGCUUAAAUAUUAGCAUAAGUAAAAGCUACACAAAAGAUUUUCAUUUUUAUAAAAAAGAAAGGGUCUAAGCCAUAUAGAUUUUCACCUAUGAAGAAUUCUAACAAAGUACUUGAAAGAUAUAUAUGUGACUUGAUAUGUUUUUUAAUGUGGCCCAUUCUCUCCCCUAAAUAGGAUACUAACUGUUAAUUAUAUAAAAAUUAAAUGUUUCUUUUAGAUUAUUUUUAUCUGUAUAGUAUUUAGAUUUCAAUCUUACAUUUGUUGUAGUUAACCCUGACAUUGCAAUUUAUAUUUAUAAACUUUUAGCCAACACUAACAACCUAUAAGUAUUAACAAAGCAUUGAUGUACAAUACUGCAGCCGUUACUUUGAUUUCAUGUAAAGAAAUCUUUGACAGCUAAUGAAAUUGUUCCUCUAAUUGCAGAAGUGUGUAUGGACAGUAACACACUUAAUUCAGAACACACUGCAGUCCUGAGUCUGCACUGAAGGUUUGGGAGAGUGUUUGCUGGUAUUACACAGUGCAAGUGCUUGCACAUUGCAAAUUACAAAUGUUAUGUGAUUACAACCUAGGCUGCAGUGAACAAACAUGAUAGCUCAUAGGCAAAAACACCUCAUGAUUGCACAUUGAUUUUUGAAUGAAUUUUUGGUUCCUGUGUGUUGAGAAACCGAUUACUAUUGCCAAAUUUAACCCAACUGCCACACUGUAGUAUAUGACCUCCAUAAUGAAAUCCCAAAUUGCAGCUAGGGGUCUAGAUAGCAUAUCCCCUCACUGCAGUAAAGAAGCAGUGGCUAUGGAGACUGCUUUUAGAUUUUAAAGUAAAACAAUGUCAAAGGAUACAUCAUUAGUAGGCAGGGGCAUUAUGAGUUCACUGGGCCUGGGCCAUUGCCAGUUUUUAAAGAGAUGUGAGAAAACUAGUGACCUGAUAUUUCGGUUGAUUCUAGUUGAAUAGAGAGAAUUGCUAGCAGUUCUCAAGACACAGAUACAAUAGCUAAAUUGUUUUGCAUGACUACAGACAUGUACAGAACUCACUGACUUCCUUGGUAUCUUAAAAAGACUUUAUAAUCUGAAAAAUUACAGCAGGGUGUUUACUCAAUGGCAAGGCAUACAAAUAUCAUUUGUAACAAUGUUACAUUUUUUGACAAAAAGGUUUCAUUCACAUUCAAACUUGAAAAGAGAAAAGUAUGUGUGGCCUGGAAAAUCACAUAAUAUUUAUUCUUAGCCUGUGUUUCAUAGUCAUGAUAGUCAGGUUAGAUUGUUCUUACAAAGAUUUACUUUAUGUUUAUAUUCAAGUUUCUCUGCAUACCUACAUAUGCAUAGUGUGCCUGGUGCAUGUGCAGAACAGAAGGCUUGAGAUACCAUGAUACUUGAGUUACAUGCAGUUAUGUGCUGUCAUGUGGGUGCCUGGAAUCAAACCUGGGUCCUCUGAGAGAGGAACAAUUGUGCCUAUGUUUAGCUAUCUCCCCAGCCCCAAAGGUAAAUUUUCUUAAGUUUAAACUUGCUUAGUGAUCAUGCAAGUUCUGGUAAAUCUGUGUUUUUAUUUUUCAGAAAACCAAGGAAGUCUGCUGAUUACUUCAAUAAGGUAGAAGGAGAGGAAAAGAGGGAUGGAGGGAAGAAUAGAUAGUGACAGAGAGGGAGAAGGGGAAAGGAGCACCAGCAUCUCUUUUAAUGUCUCUCCAUUCAUGAAAAGUAUUUAAAAAAAUUAAAUUGACUUUCCCUUUUAGAAUACAAGGGAUCAUUUUCUUACUACCUAGAUUUGCUCAUUCGUUCUUAGACAUAAUCCUGUUGAUUCAAGCAAUAGUGGUAACUCUGACCUUCUGGGUUCUCAUGUCCAUCUCUGCCUUGGCUACCAGUGUAAACUUUAUCUGCUUCUAUUCCUGAGGUGUUUGAAAGAUGUGACCUUAGUUUGCCAGGGGCAGGAGCUUCUUGUUAACUAUAAACAUAUGCUUUUCUUUUUAAUUUCAUUUCACUAAAAAAUGAAAUAAAACAGUGCUGUUUCACAAUGGAGUUAAAAAUGAGGUUGUUAAAGUAACGUUUCUUUCCUCUACCUCCCUCACUGCUUCCCCUCCAUCCUUUACUCCAUAUAAAAUUUAAAAUGCUUACAUUUUGUUCAUUAUUAAUAUGCCUUUUUCUGUGAAGUGGGUGAUUGCAGCUCUACACAAAUAUACAAACACUGGAAACAGCCUGAGUUUCAAUCCACAGAAACUAUAUAAACAAACUGAUACAAUCAAAUAAUGGAAUAACACUUAGAAGUGGGUGAAGAAUCAACUAUUGAUAAAACAACAUAAGUUAAUCCGCAACACCAAGAGGACUGACAGCAUACAGAGUGCAUGCUGGCUGCCACUUCUGUGAAAUUAAACAAACAAACAAACAAAACAUGGGCAAAAGACUUACUUUGGGUUAAAAAUCAAUGACAGUUUCCUGGAAAUGAAAGAUGUCUCUCUAUGAAGCUAUAUACCUCAAUAGGAAUAGGAUUGCUAACAAUUCUAAUUCUUGAAUGACAGCACUUCUCAAAUGUCAUUCUCAUUGUCACAGAUCUUUAACUUACUGAUAGUAAAUCUUCCAUCAGAUUAAGCUAAGUUUACAUUGUAAUUAAUAUCAGAAUGUGGAAUUAUUUACAGAGAGGUACACAGAUGUCUGCAUUAAUCAAAUUUAAAAAAUAAGACAGAGAAAUAAUAAAUAGAUAAACAGAAGGGACUGUUUACAAAGCAGAUAUAGUAAAACUCAUUUAAUUCAGUGUAGAUUAUAAAUAUGUGUUCCUUAUAAAGUACUUUCAGUGAAUAUAUGAAUAUUUUAUAAGAUACUGGAGAAGGUUGAUAUAUCUUUUAAUUAAGAGUACAUUGUCAUCUUCAGCGCUAAUGACAGAGGGUCCCAAGGUCCCCAGAGGACUCUCUACGCCAUAGGCGCCCUAGCACACACUGGAUCUUGGGAUCACUGGAGAGAAUGGAAUACAAUAUCUGUUCCAAAGAAUCCCAAAGGAUCUUGUACCAGCAGGAACAGGGACAAAGAAACAACACCCACCAACCGGCUGGGAUUCUUUCCAUCAGGGCCAGCCCCAUGCCAUCUUGGGUGUGAAUUGGGCAGGCACUAGCACACCCAGGAUCUUGGGAUCACUGAAACCAGUCUACACAGGAGAGCACCUGGGUGGCAGAAGCAAAAGAGCUUCUUAGAAAGGAUCCCUUCAGGCCUUCAUCCUUAGCCAGGAGGCAGAGCUGAGACCCAGAAAUCUGGGCACCUUCCUUGCCAGAGGAGAGUCUUCUUCCAGGGAGGGCUCUGACCUCGGGACUCAAGAGGUGGAUCUGAGCUCCAGAAUUCUGGGCAUCUUCCCUGCAGGAGGAGAGUUUGCCUGCAGAGACUGCUCUAACCGCUGGGACUCAGGAGAGAGUUGGGCUCCAAGGAGUGCUGACAGAGGCUAACAGAAUCACAGGAGGAACAACUUCCAGCCAGAGACAGCCAGAACAUCUAACACAAGAGAUUACCAGAUGGUGAAAGGCAAACUUAAGAAUCUUACUAACAGAAACCUAGACCACUGGAAAUCAUCAGAACCCACUAUGCCCACCAUAACGAGUCAUGGAUACCGCUAGCCUCAUUAGCCAGAGAAAUCUAAGGAUGCAGCAGACCCUGCCUGCCCAGUGUUGAGACAACUGGUAACAGCUUCCAUAUGCAGCUUCUUUAUGUGGAUGCUGGAAUUUUGAACUCUAAAUGCAUGCUCAACUGACAAGCACUUUUCUGACCGAGCCAUCAUCCUAGUCCCUACUGUAGUGUUUUACAAACACUUUCUGAAAUGUUGAUUUGUAUCAUGUGUGGUCUCUCUGUAGCACUGAGAAGACAGGUUAAGGUUUGCCAUAAAGCCUGCACUGAGGAGCAGGAAACAGAAAAUGACCAUAUAAACAAGCAGGCAACCAUGUAGUGUAUUUUUCAAUGAUGAGUGUGAUCACAGGCACUCUGCCUUAGAAUCUGCUUAUGCAGCUUAAACUGAAGUCUUUGGAAGUCUAUGGGCUCUGAUCUUAGUCAAGACUGGGGACAAUGGUUUGUUAAUUCUUAUAACUUUAAUAACCCAUGUCUCAAAGUCAGAAAGAAGUGUUUAAAUGUUUGUGAUAAUCUUAUUACUAUAAAUGCUUAUAGCUCUUGUUCAGAUGUUCAUGUUCAUUUCUAACUGCUUUUCAAUCAGCUGCCUCUGCUUUCAUGGGGAUCAGGCCCAUGCUUGUAUGACAUUAGUAUAUGCUUCCAGCUAAGAGCCUGAAAAAUGCCCACUAUGCUAUCUUAGAGUGGUUGUUUGCAUCUCGUGUAUAAAGUUAAACUAGAGGAACUUCUGUUUAAGUGAUUAAUUUUCUGGCAUUCUUCUGUAUUUAGUUUUGACUCUGGAUUUAGUAGUUACAUGAAGUGAAAUUUUACAGAAUUUUCUUCCAUUAGGGUAAAGUAUUUGGAUCAUGAACAAUUAUACUUAAGGUAAAGUGUGAUAAUAUUAAAACUAAAAAUAUCUAAAUUCAAGAAAUUCUAUAAAAUGUUCAAGAACUUUUAAAAUGGAUAAUGAUGUGUGUGCAAGAAUGAAUGCACCUUCUCUUGUGAAAAAUUUUCAGUAUAUUUAUUCUUAAUAUUCUGAAUAAUAAUAUGUUCGGGACCAUAAAGAGAAUAUCAAAAAUCAUAUUUUUACUUC
rnacentral:lncRNA from 1 species